ensembl:lncRNA
AGAACAUGCGAAACACCACCUAGACCGAAACCUGAGCUCAGGGUCGAUGUAACAUCAAUAUCACUGCUUAAAUCACUUUUUCAUUUAGAAAGGUUUGGUAAUAAAUAAGCGUUCUUAUGAUCAUUGGUACAAAUGACAACUUUCAUCUACACUUGCCAUUUCACCAGCUUUGAUCUGUAAUUACUUUGCAAUUGAUGUUUCCAUGAUAUCCUAAAGUUGAUAAUAGUUAAGAAACUUAAAAUAAUGACAUUAAAAGAUCUCUGACAGUCAGUUGUUACAUGCUUUAUCGGACAUUAUUGGAGUUUCUUACAAAUACGAUCAUUUUCAAUUUUAUGAAGCAUUAUAAGCACAGUUAUAAAGUUUUAUGAAUGUAGCCUUCAUGCACCGCGUCUUCUCCAAACAAUCUUUUCUCCCUUCCCAGGUUGGCCAUAAAGUAUGUACUGACAGUAACUGAUGGCUUUUUGCUUGGAAUGAAGGCAGGCAGUGACGCUGUGUCAAACCCGAUAGAACAAACACAACACAUCAAGAACCUGUUUUACAUGAACAAUUCAAUUCAAGGGUGUGAAAAUUUUUAUCUGAUACAUAACAUCAGAUUACAGUUGAUCAGAAGAAAAGUACUACCCAAGCUCUUAGUCCUCGACUGCUCAGCUUUAGGCUUUGAAUAAAAGCAUCUGGUAAAUGAAUAAUAGGAAAGAAAUGAUCUUUAGUUAUGUCAAAUGAUUCGUCAUGUAUUUUUUUUUUUCUCCUGAACAUAGAAAGCGAACAGACAAGUGAUCAUUCCUGUUUUCCCAUUGCUAUGUGAAAGCCUGAACUGCCACAAGUCACUUGUGGAAGCUGUUGCAUUCGAAGGUUGGAUCUGAAAUUUGUGUUUGGCUGCACGUUGCUAAAGAGGACUGUGAGUUUCUGGCCCAUGUGGGAGACGACGCUAUGCUUGUGUUCCUAGCUGCCAUAUGAGAAAACAUAAUGUCCUCCAGCCUUCAUAUUUUAGGUGGAGAGACAAAUUUGUAGCUGCCAAGUCUCUUCGAUUAGAUAAAGCACACAAACACUGGUGAUGCAUGUGCUGAGAGUAAAGACUGCGAGGUGUUUCGCUGUGAUGUUUGCAGAAAGAACGCAGGGAAAGUGGAACUGCUGGCUCUUUGAAUCACUAUCAGAGCAAAGGGAUUUAAUGGUGAGGUGAUGGUGCUGUUGUAUUUUUAAUUAUUUUAUUUUAUUUUUU